GCCCCCGUAGCUUAGUGGCCUAGAGCGCCCGCGUGGUAAGCGGGUGGACCCGGGUUCGAAUCUCGCGUAAAAAAGCGGGCGAGAGUCCCGGCGGGGGCUCCA
rnacentral:tRNA from 1 species